rnacentral:rRNA from 1 species
AGUGAACGCUGGCGGUAGGCCUAACACAUGCAAGUCGAACGGCAGCACAGUAAGAGCUUGCUCUUACGGGUGGCGAGUGGCGGACGGAUGAGGAAUACAUCGGAAUCUACUUUUUCGUGGGGGAUAACGUAGGGAAACUUACGCUAAUACCGCUUACGACCUACGGGUGAAAGCAGGGGAUCUUCGGACCUUGCGCGAUUGAAUGAGCCGAUGUCGGAUUAGCUAGUUGGCGGGGUAAAGGCCCACCAAGGCGACGAUCCGUAGCUGGUCUGAGAGGAUGAUCAGCCACACUGGAACUGAGACACGGUCCAGACUCCUACGGGAGGCAGCAGUGGGGAAUAUUGGACAAUGGGCGCAAGCCUGAUCCAGCCAUACCGCGUGGGUGAAGAAGGCCUUCGGGUUGUAAAGCCCUUUUGUUGGGAAAGAAAAGCAGCAGGUUAAUACCCCGCUGUUCUGACGGUACCCAAAGAAUAAGCACCGGCUAACUUCGUG